CAUGCAAGUCGAGCGGACAGAUGGGAGCUUGCUCCCUGAUGUUAGCGGCGGACCGGUGAGUAACACGUGGGUAACCUGCCUGUAAGACUGGGAUAGCUCCGGAAAACCGGGGCUAAUACCGGAUGGUUGUUUGAACCGCAUGGUUCAAACAUAAAAGGUGGCUUCGGCUACCACUUACAGAUGGACCCGCGGCGCAUUAGCUAGUUGGUGAGGUAACGGCUCACCAAGGCGACGACGCGUAGCCGACCUGAGAGGGUGAUCGGCCACACUGGGACUGAGACACGGCCCAGACUCCUACGGGAGGCAGCAGUAGGGAAUCUUCCGCAAUGGACGAAAGUCUGACGGAGCAACGCCGCGUGAGUGAUGAAGGUUUUCGGAUCGUAAAGCUCUGUUGUUAGGGAAGAACAAGUACCGUUCGAAUAGGGCGGUACCUUGACGGUACCUAACCAGAAAGCCACGGCUAACUACGUGCCAGCAGCCGCGGUAAUACGUAGGUGGCAAGCGUUGUCCGGAAUUAUUGGGCGUAAAGGGCUCGCAGGCGGUUUCUUAAGUCUGAUGUGAAAGCCCCCGGCUCAACCGGGGAGGGUCAUUGGAAACUGGGGAACUUGAGUGCAGAAGAGGAGAGUGGAAUUCCACGUGUAGCGGUGAAAUGCGUAGAGAUGUGGAGGAACACCAGUGGCGAAGGCGACUCUCUGGUCUGUAACUGACGCUGAGGAGCGAAAGCGUGGGGAGCGAACAGGAUUAGAUACCCUGGUAGUCCACGCCGUAAACGAUGAGUGCUAAGUGUUAGGGGGUUUCCGCCCCUUAGUGCUGCAGCUAACGCAUAAGCCUCCGCUGGA
rnacentral:rRNA from 1 species